UUUUUUUUUUUUUUUUUUUUUUUUUUUUUUUUUUUUUUUUUUUUUUAAUGUAAAGAUUUCUGGGCCCACCCCACCGAGGUAAUCAGAAGAAGGACCUGGGAAUCUGGGGGUCACCCUGUGUCUUUAAUUACUGCUCAGCUGGUUUGUUACUGACUCUGUGACCUUGAUUGUGUUACUUAAUCUGUUUGAGCCUCAGGUUUUAUCUGUGAAGUGGGGAUAAUAUCCAAAUCAUAGAUUUAUUGACAAACUUCUACAUGACUAAACUUGUUCAGCACAUGACUAGUGCUCAAUACUUGGAAGGUAUAUUGCCCACAAAUGUGUGAUCUGUACACUCAAGCUGACUGAUGUGUUUUCUUAUAAGGACCUGUCCCUACCCCCAACGUUUUGGUGAAGCAGCCGGACUGUCAUGGGAUAUGUAUGUGUAUGCACAUUUUAGCUCAUGCAUAGUUGUCACCUUUAUAUGAUUUCCCCUCCUCCGCCUUUUAGGCCAUAAAAUAGAUUAGAAUUGGCACAUUUGGAAGCUAGGCCCUGUGCUCUUGGACCUAGAACUGUCCAUCAGGCCUACUGGCAAAGCGGGGCAUUUACCAAUCUGAAGUCUGCUUCAUCCUCCACCCCACCCCCACCUUUUUUGGCUCUUUCACCUUCCUUGCUUUAUAGAUGGCAAACAUUUCCUAAAGAAACCGCUGGUCAGACCAAUGAAGCCACAGGACAAAAAGUUAUCUUCGAAAGGGAACGACAAGAAGGAAGAAAAAGUCAGCAUUCCUAGAGAGAACCAUUCUCUGCUUUCAAUAGGACAGAAGAGCUCCUUGGCACUGGAUGCCUCCGGGUCUGGUUGAGAGAGGAAUUGGUUAGGAGACUGUUCUGAGGAUACGCAGACAUCAUCCAAAGCUUCCUACAUUCAGAUGAGGACAGAGGUUGGGCCAGAGCAUGGCAUGCUUGUUACCUAAGGACGGUUUUGACCAUGUGAGCAAAUCACAGAAGGGUCCCAUGGGAACAGAAAAUUUUGAGGGAGUUUACUGUUUGUGCAAGAUGACUGGUUGGGUAAAGAAGUCCAAAGUUUUUUAUCUGCAGAACAAAUAAAGCCUGGGCAAAGGUAACUGAAAUGAACGUCUCCCACCUUGUCCCUCUUGCAUGUCUAAGGUGAUGUUUGUGCCGAUGGUUGCACAAUGGAGAACCUAAUCUAUG
rnacentral:lncRNA from 1 species